rnacentral:rRNA from 1 species
UGGGGAAUAUUGCACAAUGGGCGAAAGCCUGAUGCAGCAACGCCGCGUGAGCGAUGAAGGCCUUUGGGUCGUAAAGCUCUGUCCUAGGGGACGAAAAAAAUGACGGUACCCUUGGAGGAAGCCCCGGCUAACUACGUGCCAGCAGCCGCGGUAAUACGUAGGGGGCGAGCGUUGUCCGGAAUUACUGGGCGUAAAGGGUGCGCAGGCGGUUUUUUAAGUCAGAUGUGAAAUACCCAGGCUUAACUUGGGGGGUGCAUCUGAUACUGGAGGACUUGAGUGCAGGAGAGGAAAGUGGAAUUCCUAGUGUAGCGGUGAAAUGCGUAGAUAUUAGGAGGAACACCAGUGGCGAAGGCGACUUUCUGGACUGUAACUGACGCUGAGGCACGAAAGCGUGGGGAGCAAACA